rnacentral:rRNA from 1 species
UACGUAGGUGGCGAGCGUUGUCCGGAUUUACUGGGCGUAAAGAGCGCGCAGGCGGUCGUUCAAGUCGCGUGUGAAAGCCCCCGGCUCAACUGGGGAGGGUCACGCGAUACUGAUCGACUCGAAGGCAGGAGAGGGAAGUGGAAUUCCCGGUGUAGUGGUGAAAUGCGUAGAUAUCGGGAGGAACACCAGUGGCGAAGGCGGUGCUCUGGGCCGGAACUGACGCUGAGGAGCGAAAGCGUGGGGAGCAAACAGG